rnacentral:rRNA from 1 species
UCCACGGAGAGUUUGAUCCUGGCUCAGGAUGAACGCUGGCGGCGUGCUUAACACAUGCAAGUCGAACGAUUAAAGCCCCUUCGGGGGUGUAUAGAGUGGCGAACGGGUGAGUAACACGUGGGCAAUCUGCCCCUCACUUCGGGAUAACUCAGGGAAACUUGAGCUAAUACCGAAUACUCCGAGCGGAUCGCAUGGUCUGCUCGGGAAAGCUCCGACGGUGAGGGAUGAGCCCGCGGCCCAUUAGCUAGUUGGUGAGGUAACGGCCCACCAAGGCAACGAUGGGUAGCCGCGCUGAGAGGCGGAUCGGCCACACUGGGACUGAGACACGGCCCAGACUCCUACGGGAGGCAGCAGUGGGGAAUUUUGC